rnacentral:tRNA from 1 species
GAGGGCUUAGCUUAAUUAAAGUAAUUGAUUUGCGUUCAAUAGAUGUGGGGUGUAGUCCUGCAGUCCUUA